rnacentral:rRNA from 1 species
CGCUGGCGGCGUGCCUAACACAUGCAAGUCGAACGGAGUUACUCUCCAGCUUGCUGGAGAACUAACUUAGUGGCGCACGGGUGAGUAACACGUGGGUAACCUACCCGAAAGACUGGGAUAACACCCCGAAAGGGGUGCUAAUACCGGAUACCUUUAUAAGUUUGCAUGAACUUAUAAAGAACGUUUUUUCGCUUUCCGAUGGGCCCGCGUCCCAUUAGCUAGUUGGUGAGGUAACGGCUCACCAAGGCGACGAUGGGUAGCCGGCCUGAGAGGGUGGACGGCCACACUGGGACUGAGACACGGCCCAGACUCCUACGGGAGGCAGCAGUAGGGAAUAUUGCCCAAUGGACGGAAGUCUGACGCAGCGACGCCGCGUGAGCGAUGAAGGUCUGCGGAUCGUAAAGCUCUGUCCUUGGGGAAGAGGCGAAAGCUUGACGGUACCCAGAAGAAGCCCGGCUAACUACGUGCCAGCAGCCGCGGUAUACGUAGGGGCGAGCGUGUCCGAAUACUGGCGUAAGGGCGCGUAGCGGCCUUUAGCUGGAGUAAGCCGCGCUACCCGAUGCAUC